UACGAAGGGGGCUAGCGUUGCUCGGAAUCACUGGGCGUAAAGCGCACGUAGGCGGAUUGUUAAGUCAGGGGUGAAAUCCUGGAGCUCAACUCCAGAACUGCCUUUGAUACUGGCGAUCUUGAGUCCGGGAGAGGUGAGUGGAACUGCGAGUGUAGAGGUGAAAUUCGUAGAUAUUCGCAAGAACACCAGUGGCGAAGGCGGCUUACUGGCCCGGUACUGACGCUGAGGUGCGAAAGCGUGGGGAGCGAACAGG
rnacentral:rRNA from 1 species